rnacentral:misc_RNA from 1 species
UCCGUGUUAACCACGGCAGUCUGUCUGGAGUGCCCAACUUAAUGAUGGCAACCAAACACAGGGGUUGCGCUCGUUGCGGGACUUAACCCAACAUUUCACAACACGAGCUGACGACAGCCAUGCAGCACCUGUGUCCUCUGUCUCUUGCGAGCCUAUAUCUAUCUCUAGUUAUAUUCAGAGGCAUGUCAAGUCCAGGUAAGGUUCUUCGCGUUGCUUCGAAUUAAACCACAUGAUCCACCGCUUGUGCGGGUCCCCGUCAAUUCCUUUGAGUUUUAAUCUUGCGACCGUACUUCCCAGGCGGGAUGCUUAUCGCGUUAGCUUCGACACGACAGGGGUCAAGACCCAUCACGUCUAGCAUCCAUCGUUUACAGCGUGGACUAC